AGGGGAGUGAAAAAGAACCUGAAACCGUGUACGUACAAGCAGUGGGAGCACGCUUCGGCGUGUGACUGCGUACCUUUUGUAUAAUGGGUCAGCGACUUAUAUUCUGUAGCAAGGUUAACCGAAUAGGGGAGCCGAAGGGAAACCGAGUCUUAACUGGGCGUUAAGUUGCAGGGUAUAGACCCGAAACCCGGUGAUCUAGCCAUGGGCAGGUUGAAGGUUGGGUAACACUAACUGGAGGACCGAACCGACUAAUGUUGAAAAAUUAGCGGAUGACUUGUGGCUGGGGGUGAAAGGCCAAUCAAACCGGGAGAUAGCUGGUUCUCCCCGAAAGCUAUUUAGGUAGCGCCUCGUGAAUUCAUCUCCGGGGGUAGAGCACUGUUUCGGCAAGGGGGUCAUCCCGACUUACCAACCCGAUGCAAACUGCGAAUACCGGAGAAUGUUAUCACGGGAGACACACGGCGGGUGCUAACGUCCGUCGUGAAGAGGGAAACAACCCAGACCGCCAGCUAAGGUCCCAAAGUCAUGGUUAAGUGGGAAACGAUGUGGGAAGGCCCAGACAGCCAGGAUGUUGGCUUAGAAGCAGCCAUCAUUUAAAGAAAGCGUAAUAGCUCACUGGUCGAGUCGGCCUGCGCGGAAGAUGUAACGGGGCUAAACCAUG
rnacentral:rRNA from 1 species